GCGAACGCUGGCGGCAGGCUUAACACAUGCAAGUCGAGCGGGCACCUUUCGGGGUGUCAGCGGCGGACGGGUGAGUAACGCGUGGGAACGUGCCCUCUGGUUCGGAAUAACUCAGGGAAACUUGAGCUAAUACCGGAUACGCCCUUUUGGGGAAAGGCUUGCUGCCGGAGGAUCGGCCCGCGUCUGAUUAGCUAGUUGGUGAGGUAACGGCUCACCAAGGCGACGAUCAGUAGCUGGUCUGAGAGGAUGAUCAGCCACACUGGGACUGAGACACGGCCCAGACUCCUACGGGAGGCAGCAGUGGGGAAUAUUGGACAAUGGGCGCAAGCCUGAUCCAGCCAUGCCGCGUGAGUGAUGAAGGCCUUAGGGUUGUAAAGCUCCUUUAUCCGGGACGAUAAUGACGGUACCGGAGGAAUAAGCCCCGGCUAACUUCGUG
rnacentral:rRNA from 1 species